AUGAACGCUGGUGGCGUGCCUAAUACCUGCAAGUCGAGCGCACAGACGAGGAGCUUGCUCCUCUGACGUUAGCGGCGGACGGGUGAGUAACACGUGGAUAACCUACCUAUAAGACUGGGAUAACUUCGGGAAACCGGAGCUAAUACCGGAUAAUAUAUUGAACCGCAUGGUUCAAUAGUGAAAGACGGUUUUGCUGUCACUUAUAGAUGGAUCCGCGCCGCAUUAGCUAGUUGGUAAGGUAACGGCUUACCAAGGCGACGAUGCGUAGCCGACCUGAGAGGGUGAUCGGCCACACUGGAACUGAGACACGGUCCAGACUCCUACGGGAGGCAGCAGUAGGGAAUCUUCCGCAAUGGGCGAAAGCCUGACGGAGCAACGCCGCGUGAGUGAUGAAGGUCUUCGGAUCGUAAAACUCUGUUAUUAGGGAAGAACAAAUGUGUAAGUAACUAUGCACGUCUUGACGGUACCUAAUCAGAAAGCCACGGCUAACUACGUG
rnacentral:rRNA from 1 species